GGGAGGAAGGGAAGGAAGGAGCUAUGCUGGCUGGAGAAUUCUGGGAGUUGAAGUCCACAAGUCUUAAAAGUUGCCAGGUUUGGAGACCCCCCUGGUCUAGAGCAACUUGCCCGGCCAAGUUGGGCAAAUUCAGGCAGAUCUUGGUCCUCCAAGGAAAACCUUUCCCAUCCUCCACAGCACCAAACUGGAUCGCGACGCUGACAGUAGGACAGGCUGGAGCCCAUGCCACAUAUUACCACAAAGCCAGCGACCAGUUGCAGGUGGGUGUGGAAUUCGAAGCCAGCAGCCGCAUGCAAGACACCAGCGCAACCUUUGGAUACCAGCUGGAUCUCCCCAAAGCCAACCUCCUUUUCAGAGGCUCCAUCGACAGCAACUGGAUCGUGGGGGCGGUCUUGGAAAAGAAGCUGAUUCCGUUGCCCCUCACGCUAGCGAUGGGCGCCUUCCUGAAUCACCGCAAGAACAAAUUCCAGUGCGGCUUUGGCCUGACCAUUGGUUAAACUGCCCUUCUCCUUCUCCCUCCUUCCUCCUCUUCCUCCUCCUCUUCUUCAGUGCAGUGCGUGGCCCCGUUGUCCUCCCGCCCUGCACCCUUGUCUGGCCAGAGGUAGCUGUUGGUGUGUGUGUGGGGGGGGGGGGGGGGAGGGGGGGGGGAGGGGGGGGGGGGGUGGAGAGCAGGAAGGAUGCCUUCCGCCUCCCACCCAUAAGGAGGGGUUGGCGGUUCUCGGAGGAGCUGGAGGAUGGGAGGGGGGAGGAUUUGGCCCAAUAUACGGUUCACAAGGUCCUCCGGGCAACGCUUUGCCGCCUCCUGCCACCAGGGGGUGCUCUAGCAUCGGGAAUGGGGAAAGGCCUCCUUUCCCAAGGAUGCCAGGGGGCUGUGGGGAGCUUAGCCCCCUCCCCCCCCCCCCCAUCAACCUCCCCCCCCCCCCAUAUUUCCCAUUUCCUCCCGUUUUAUUUCCCCCUCCAUCCAUCCAAGGAAGGAGAGAGAGCCAAACUUUUGACGGUUUUCCAAAGAGAAAAAUCCAUAGGACCUGCAUUUUGGGUUUUUUUAAACUUCCGUUCCCACUCUAUCGAACUUUCCCUUGUUUUUGUUUAUGGGGGAAUGUGGGGUUUUUUUGGGGGGGGUGGGUGGGGGGUUCUCGCUUCCCUCAUGGGUUUGCCAAAAGAUUAGCGGCAAUCGUGGUUCUGUCGGGCCUGUUUUGGGGGGCGCCCGGUUGCACCCUCCUUCCCUCUCUUCCUGCUGGGUUUGCCAAAAGGUAAAAUGGCAGUUGUGGUUUUAUCAGGCCUGUUUUGGGG
rnacentral:lncRNA from 1 species